rnacentral:lncRNA from 13 species
GUUUGUCAGGGGAAAAAAGGGAUCCUCUUCCUUGGAUGCAUUUUACUUUUGAGCCCAUGAAUCAGAUUUGAAGCCCAUGAAGAAGAUUCAAAGGAACCUCAGAGAAAGGGAAGUGAGGGGGGCAACAGAGACCUCCCCUCACUGCCUCCAGGAUACAAGGUUUAUUAAAAAGAUGGCAUGUUGUUUAGAAGUAAGGACAUUGCUCUUUUUGUCUUUUUCUUAAUUUUGAGGUGCAUCAUUAUGAUUUCAAAAAAUGAAAUGUGAGUGGACUCUUAAGUUCUGUUGCUGGUCUGUUGAGGUUGGCACAACUCACUGGAAGGUCCUGUCUCUGGCAGGUACAUCAGGGAAAGGUGCGUCCCUCCCAGUGAAGCUGGAAGGUUGAAGUCCUGACACCUCCCGCGGUCUGAGCAGCUGCGCGAUGAACUGGAUAGUGCUGGAAUGUGGGACAACGGAGGCAGACUCAGAAGUCGGAACAUUGUUUCAGGAUCACACAGAAAGAGACAUGAUUUUCAUAGAUCUUCGUGUGAGCUCGUCUCUCUUUCAAUUAUCUCUCCUCCAAUGUUGCUUCCUUGGCUGAAGGAAAAAUGAGCCCUCAUCCCACACCCUGCAGCCUCGCCGUAGUUGCUUUGCAGCGGAGCCUGGCUGCAGAUGAACUGUUCAUGUUCUGGGUCUCCUUCCAGAACAUACCUCAAGACAAAGGAUUGCAGAUGGGCAUCGUAUUUUCCAUCUAGGCGCAUGCUCAAGGGAACUGAGAAAAUCUGUUACCUGCAUAAUAAUUAUCAUCAUCCCUGGAUGUGGAAACCAAGGCUGAAAGGGGGAAGAGGACGUGGUUUCCUGAUAGCAGAGCUCGGGUGGAAACCAGAUUUUUCCACUCCAGAUCCUGCUUUCUGCUCAUGCCGAUUCCAAUGAAUGUGAGCCUUGGGUGCUGCCUCUGACACCUGCUGUGCAGCCAGAAGCAGUGUGCAGGAUGCAGGCAGUUUGCCUCCCACACCGUGACAGGUAAUGCCGGCCUAAGCUAUCAUCCACUAAAAGAAUAGGGCUAUGGCCGGGCACGGUGGCUCACACCUGUAAUGUCAGCACUUUGGGAGGCUGAAGUGGGCAGAUCACGAGGUCAAGAGAACGAGACCAUCCUGGCCAACAUAGUGAAACCCUCUCUCAACUAAAAUAUAAAAAAAGUAGCUGGGUGUGGUGGUGCGCAUCUGUAGUCCCAGCAACUCGGGAAGCUGAUGCAAGACAAUUAUUUGAACUUGGGAGGUGGAGGUUGCAGUGAGCCGAGAUCAUGCCACUGUACUCCAGCCCAGUGCCUGGCGACAGAGCAAGACUCUGCCUAAAAACAAACAAACAAAAAAAAAUAGGGCUGUGAGCCCUCUGCUUUUCAGAGCAGGAGGGGAACAUUCCCGCAGUGUUAUGGGUUGGGUGUGUGAGUUUUUUCUUGAAGAACACAAUUAGAAAGGGGGUCUACGUGUCACAUAUAAAAUACCAAUAGGCCAGCCACAGAGAAUGCUGCAGGGUUUGACAGACAAGACAGGGUGUCUACCAGCAAACGGACACCAUGCCACAUCAUCCUUAAUGAAAUAGGUGCACUUCAGUGAGAUGAAAAUUCAUCUGUAGCUCUACCUGCCUCCUCACGGUCCUUCUCCAGCUAUAAGGACAUCAGAUAAACCAUUUAGACAGAGGGCCCUUUAACCAGCUUCUCAGCGGCAGUGAAUCAAGUCAGAAAGGUAAUUCAGCCCUCACUCCCAAGAUACAAGGAAAGGCAAGAAAAACUGUUCCUUUAGAUUCUGUUCUCUCUAUGGAACCAUUUGUCGAUUUCCUCCAAGAGUCACAAUCAAUCCCAUCAGGAGUGCUUGCCAAAAGGAACGCUCUGUGGAAACUCAAGCUGGGGCUUGUGUCUGCCUCUGGACAUCUUCCCUCAUCUUUCUUUUUAAGGGUGGCAGGAGGGGACCGUGGUAACAUGGAAGGUGUGACCUACGACAGGCCCCCAAGCUCCUGGGGUCCCUGAGUGCCCAGUCGUAGGUUUCUGAGUACUCGUUCUCAUGUACUGCUUGCCCGUCAGUGGAUGCCACUUAAAUAACUGCUUUACCAGAACUGGCUUGUGUAGGACUCAUCCGAAGUCCUUACCAACAGAAGGAAUAAGGAAUUCACAUGGAAAGUGGGCCUCACCCUGCUCUUCUCUCAUCAGUGAAGUCACCUGAAACAUGCAGAUUACCAAGGCCUCCAGAGGCACCAGACUCAGUGGUUUGGCUUGUCCGUGCUCUUCAGUCCACACAGGUGGCAGGAGGAACUUAGAUGUGGACGAGGCGCUUAGAGAGCAGCGACUCAAAUAUUUUUAUUUGAUUGCUUGAAAAAAAUGAGGCUUUGAACGCCUGUAAUCCCAGCACUUUGGGAGGCCGAGGCGGGUGGAUCACGAGGUCAAGAGAUCGAGACCAUCCUGGUCAGCAUGGUGAAACCCCAUCUCUACUAAAAAUACAAAAAAUUAGCUGGGCAUGGUGGCGCGAGCCUGUAAUCCCAGCUACUCAGGAGGCUGAGGCAGGAGAAUUGCUUGAACCCAGGAGGCGGAGGUUGUGGUGAGCCGAGAUCACACCAUUGCACUCCGGCCUGGGUAACAAGAGCAAAACUCUGUCUCAAUUAAAAAAAAAAAAAAUGAGGCUUUGAGAGGUGAAGUAUUAACCUCUUGCCCAACGUCAUACUACUGGGGAGAAAAAUCAAUUCAUCUAAAGCUCUGUCCAAAAGAAUACUCAUGUUCUCUUAGUCCCUCACUGGUUUGAGCAUGUGUCUUUUACCACAUGUAGAUUUUUAGACAUUCUGUGCUUUGUAGGGUUUACUCAUUUUAAUCCAAAAAAAAUUCCUUUCAUGUUGUGCAGCUAAUCACCGAAAUGCUAGGCAACCUGAACGUUUUAUUACAAACCAGUAUUCCCUGCAGAAAAGUCUUAUUUUGAUUAAUCUUUAGCACUUACAGCUCCUUUCUGCCAAUCAAACUUUCCAUCACGCACAAGCUGCUGCUGCGGAGGCCAGGUUUACAUGUUGAGCCAGCCCAGAAGAACUUUAGGAAGGAGAGGCAGGACUUUUCCUGUUUCUUUUGAUAAGGGAGACAGUAUGUUUUAAAGACACCUUUGUGGAAUCCUUCUUCCCUUAGGGUAGAUUGAAAGACUCUUGCUUUAAAAUAGCCACCAGUGCAGUAAAUAAAGAUGCUGAAUUCUCUUCCUCA